rnacentral:rRNA from 1 species
UACGGGGGGGGCUAGCGUUGUUCGGAAUUACUGGGCGUAAAGCGCGCGCAGGCGGUUCGAUAAGUUGGGGGUGAAAUCCCCGGGCUCAACCCGGGAAUUGCCUUCAAGACUGUCGAGCUAGAGGACGAGAGAGGUGAGUGGAAUUCCCAGUGUAGAGGUGAAAUUCGUAGAUAUUGGGAAGAACACCGGUGGCGAAGGCGGCUCACUGGCUCGUUUCUGACGCUGAGGCGCGAAAGCGUGGGGAGCAAACAGG